UACGGAGGGUGCAAGCGUUAUCCGGAAUCACUGGGUUUAAAGGGUGCGUAGGCGGCUUAGUAAGUCAGAGGUGAAAGUUCUGGGCUUAACCGAGGAAUUGCCUUUGAUACUGCUGAGCUUGAAGGAAGGUAAGGUAGGCGGAAUGUGACAUGUAGCGGUGAAAUGCAUAGAUAUGUCAUAGAACACCAAUUGCGAAGGCAGCUUACUGGCCUUUACUUGACGCUGAGGCACGAAAGCGUGGGGAGCAAACAGG
rnacentral:rRNA from 1 species